UUGGAAACUGGGAGCGCUGUAAGAAAUCAUUACAAUAAAAGGUAGAACAGAUUCUAGCAAGUGUUCAAUCACGCAGCAUGGUGCCACUUAGAGGCAGAAGACCUUAAAACAACCAGCAAGAUGUCUGCAGAAGAAACCUCUGCUGCCAGCUCUCGGCACUCUGUAUCCUGUCAUUUGACACCUUUCAUCUCCGGUAAGUUUAAGUUCGGUGACGGGCUGCAGUAAAGGCUCGGUCAGCUAUCAGAACCUGGGCACUGCUGAUGAAGCUCAGUUCAGAUGUCGUGUGGGAAAGGGCUUGCUUGUGCAGUGCACUGAAUAAAGUCAGGCCUCAGGAAACACUGUGGGGUGAUAGCUUGCGUUGAACCAUGCUGUAUCACCAAUCGCUUCUCACUGGUUUUGGCUUUAAGGUUUUGGAAGCCAGGACCUGCAGAGCUGGUUUCUACCCACAGAGUUGGUGAGUCACUGGUUGUGGUCACCAGUGGGGUACCAGGAUCUCUCUUUCUGUGGGAAAGCAACUCCUGCAGAUGCAGUGUUGUGAAAAUUCUCCAAUCAGAUUCUUGGAAGAUGCCCUGGAGAAUAAUAGAGUUACUAGGUUUACACUACUGAGGGCCGUGUUAAGGUGAGGAACAUAAAUCAUGGCAUUUAAAAAUGCCAACCAAAUCUUUUAGACAGUAAUGAGAUCAAGAACCAGAUCUGAUCAUAUUUGCUCCUGACAAUUUUAAACAGACCUAUAAUUCUGUGUACUUCCACUAUGUGUGGUCAUGU
rnacentral:lncRNA from 1 species